rnacentral:lncRNA from 1 species
CCUAGGCCCAGGCCCCGCCCCUGCCCCGCCCUUCCAGUCGCAGUGGCCUGGCCGCGGCGGCUCCGGAGGUUUCAGCCCAGGUGAAAACGAACUUGGACCUGGCCUGGGGCUCCGAGGAGGGUCCAUGCGGGCUGGGCGCCGCCGGACAGCCCCGGCUCGACCCUCCCUACCCCGCUCCCAUCUGCAGCCCCGGGCGGCCAACAGGCAAAGCCAGGACUUGUCCCGGACGUUGCUGGAGAGAUGCGGGCGAGCGUCCGCCAACAUUUUACGGAUGAAGAGGACUCAGGCCGCGGUCCCCCCGGAAACAGCUGGUAAGAAGGGAGGCGGACGAGCAAGCCCGGUGGUCCAUCGGCGCCGCCCAGAUGGCAUCUUCCAGACAACAUCGAUGGUAGCCUGGGAGUGCCUUCUACAGAGCACGCACCCUUACCUCCUGGUGUGGGAGGCGAAGAGUGUUUCCGAUUCUGUUCCUCUCCAGGGCACUGCUGGAGCCGGGACUGAUCGCUGGGACCUGUCUAGGCUCUCCGGAGCGCUGUGGGUCUGGGCUCCUAAGACUAUGCGGGACAUUGGACCCUGCAUCCUGGGACCCUCCCCAUGCACGCCACAGAGCCAGGCAUACCAAUCCGGCUGCCACCAGGGAUCAAACUGGGGCUCCGUGGGAGGGUUUGGAGGAGACUGGCCUCAAGAUCAAGGAUGGCGAUGGUGCUGUCUGCCCUGCCUGAACAUUCAUGCAGGUCCUGGCCAGCAUCCGCAGCACAGACCCAGCUCACUCCUUUUCAUAGAAGAGACAGAGGUUCACUGCCUGGUCUCUGUGCAAGUGAGAGGCAGGCACAUCCCUGCCUGUCCCCCGUCCUAUGCUCCUCACACACUCUCAGGUCUUCCCCAUCUUCUCACUGGCAAUCACACCGAAAGGUCAGAAGAAGCUUGGCAACUAAGGUGCAUCCGUAGUUUCAGCACACCAGGAAGCUUCUGCACAGGCUAGCAAGAAGCUGAGCAGAGACAGACAGGCACUGUAUGGUUGUCACUUACAUGUGGGAAGCAAGAGUGGAAACACAGUGAAGGACAGGGAAGCCUGGUGUGCUGCAGCCCGUGGGGUCGCAAAGAGUCGGGCACGACUGGGCAACUGAACCACAGCAGUGGUAAAGAGAUGAGGUUCACCAGAGGAAGCGGAGGGGUGGGAGCGCAGGAGGGCGAUCACAAGGCACAGACUUCUAGGUAAGGGUAAAUCACUAGGGAUGCUCUGCUGCCAUUGUUCAGUCACUAAGUCAUGUCUGAUUCUCUGUGACCCCAUGACCUGCAGCACCCCAGGCUUCCCUGUCCUUCACUGUCUCCCGGAGUCUGCUCAAUCUCAUGUCCAUUGAGUCGGUGACGUAACAUACAGCAUGAUAAACAUAACUAACUCUGCUGUGUGUUACCUGUGGAAGUCAUUAAGGGCCUAGAACCUAAGAGCUCUCAUCACAGAAAACAUUUUUUUCCCCUGUUGCUCUUGCUUUUAUUGAAUCCACACGAGAUGCGCACUAAGCUUGCCGCUUUACAACACGUGUAAGUCAGACCAUUCUGUUGUGCAUCUUACGCAAUGGCAUGUGGCAGUUAUGCCUCAGUGAAACUGGAGAAAAAUAAAGAAGCUGGAGAGCAGUCAGGAUGCCGUCUUACAGCCUGAAUCAUUCAUGUCGCUUCUCCGAACACUGAGCGGCUCCCGCCUCCCACUGUCUGCAGUGCCCUGCAGGCUUGGCCUCCAACCUGACCCCGAUCUUCGCUGCCCUCCUCUCACCCUUGCUGACAUCACUGCAGCUGCACUGGCCCCUGUGGCUCCACAGGCUUUACAGGCACGAUCCCACCUCAGGGCCCUCACAUUUGCUCCUCUGCUGCCUGUGUAAGCACGGCCCCAUGGCUCCACCACCCCCUCUGGGAUUUUAUUCAAAUGUUACCUUCCUUGGUGGUGACUCAGAAAGUAAAGAAUCUGCCUGCAAUGCAGGAGACCUGGGUUUGAUCCCUGGAUCAGGAAGAUCCCCUGGAGGAGGGCAUGGCAACCCACUCCAGAGGUCUUGCCUGGAGAAUCCCAUGGACGCAGGAGCCUGGCGGGCACAGUCCAUGGGGUCACAAACAGUCGGAUAAAAAUAAGGGACUAACACUACCUUCUCAGGGAGCCCUGCCUUGACCACCCAGUCUCAAAUGUUCACACUCCCCUGAUGUUUCCUCUUUCUCUAUUCUGUUGAACUUUUCUUCCUGGUGCUUCUUCCCUGCUAACCUAUUAUAUAUUUUGCAUUUUGUUUCAUUUGCUUUUUGUCUCCUCCAAAGAAUGUAUGUUCCACCAAAGCAGUGAUCUCUGUCCCUUCUGUCCCUUCAUAUCUCCAGCACCAAGCACUCAGUAAGUGCUCCAUUGUGGAAUUAAUGAGUUUCUGAAAGACGUAAACGUGGUCAGCUUGGGAGAAACUAAACAGCACUCAGGAAUCGCUGCCAAACAGGUUAAGGAGUUGGUC